rnacentral:tRNA from 1 species
GACCCUGAUGGCCAAGGGCAUGCCGAACGCGCUGGCCGUGCUCGCGGUCGCCGAACGCGGCGCGAUGUUCGACCCGUCCGCGGUCU